UACAGAGGUCCCAAGCGUUGUUCGGAUUCACUGGGCGUAAAGGGUGCGUAGGCGGUCGCAUAAGUCUGAUGUGAAAUCUCGGAGCUCAACUCCGAAACUGCAUUGGAAACUAUGUGGCUAGAGGUUGGGAGGGGGGACUGGAAUUCUCGGUGUAGCAGUGAAAUGCGUAGAUAUCGAGAGGAACACCAGUGGCGAAGGCGAGUCCCUGGACCAAUCCUGACGCUGAGGCACGAAAGCCAGGGGAGCAAACGGG
rnacentral:rRNA from 1 species